rnacentral:rRNA from 1 species
UCUUCGGCAAUGGACGCAAGUCUGACCGAGCAACGCCGCGUGAGUGAAGAAGGUUUUCGGAUCGUAAAACUCUGUUGUAAGAGCCCAACGUUGAUGAGAGUGGAAAGUUCAUCAAGUGACGGUAUCUUACCAGAAAGCCACGGCUAACUACGUGCCAGCAGCCGCGGUAAUACGUAGGUGGCAAGCGUUGUCCGGAUUUAUUGGGCGUAAAGCGAGCGCAGGCGGUUGAUUAAGUCUGAUGUGAAAGCCCCCGGCUCAACCGGGGAGGGUCAUUGGAAACUGGUCAACUUGAGUGCAGAAGAGGAGAGUGGAAUUCCAUGUGUAGCGGUGAAAUGCGUAGAUAUAUGGAGGAACACCAGUGGCGAAGGCGGCUCUCUGUCUGUAACUGACGCUGAGGCCGA